rnacentral:misc_RNA from 1 species
GAAGAAAGCAGAGCAAGAAGGUGGUAAACAUCUCCACACUGCAAAUCUGUUGCAAGAUCCACCCCCUCAGCAAUCAAUUCCUUCUCUCUUUCACAAAGCCAGCUAGCAAACUUAGCAGCUCUUUUUCCGGUAUCACUUGGGAAUGGAGAAAAUUCUAUACAAUUCAAGAAGGUUUGAGAAAGGACAAAAGGACAAUUGGAAUGACCACCAAUCAAAACUUUUUUCUCCCUGAGGUAGUUGAAAGCAGCAAAAAGAUCAUGCUCA